rnacentral:rRNA from 1 species
GGGUUCUGGCGGCGAGUAGGUCGGUCACCCACCCGACCCGUCUUGAAACACGGACCAAGGAGUCUAACAUGUGCGCGAGUCGCAGGGUCUUGUUUAGGCCCUCGGGCGCAAUGAAAGUGAAGGUUCCUCGAGGACCGAGUUGGGACUCCGGUCUUCGGAUCGGAAGCACCAACGACCCGUCCGUACCGGUCCGCCGGUUGGGCGGAGUCUGAGCGUACACGUUGGGACCCGAAAGAUGGUGAACUAUGCCUGGGCAGAACGAAGCCAGAGGAAACU